CACGCUGGCGGCAGGUCUUAGGCAUGCAAGUCGAACGGGUGUAGCAAUACAUCAGUGGCGCACGAGUGAGUAACGCGUGGAAGCUACCAUCACGUGGGGAAUUAACGUUUGGAAACGAACGCUAAUACCGCAUACGCCCGAAAGGGGAAAGAUUUAUCGGUAAUGGAUGUGCCCGCGUUGGAUUAGCUUGUUGGUGGGUAACGGCCUACCAAGGCGAUGAUCCCAUAGCUGGUCUGAGAGGACGAUCAGCCACGCUGGGACUGAGACACGGCCCAGACUCCUACGGGAGGCAGCAGCUAAGAAUAUUGGACAAUGGGGGAAACCCUGAUCCAACGCCAUGCCGCGUGAAUGAAGAAGGCCUUCGGGUUGUAAAGUUCUUUUAGUAGUGAAGAUGAUGACAGUAGCUACAGAAAAAGCACCGGCUAACUUCGUGCCAGCAGCAGC
rnacentral:rRNA from 1 species